GGGCCUAUGGCGCAACGGUAGCGCGUUGUAAGUUCUACUUAAGAACAGCUCUCAAAUAGCAUUCAACUAACAGUAACAGCGACUCCAGAUCGAUAGGUUAUCCGUUCAAAUCGGGUUAGGCUCA